rnacentral:rRNA from 1 species
UACGUAGGGGGCAAGCGUUGUCCGGAAUCAUUGGGCGUAAAGAGCGUGUAGGCGGCCCGGUAAGUCCGCUGUGAAAGUCCAGGGCUCAACCCUGGGAUGCCGGUGGAUACUGUCGGGCUCGAGUCCGGAAGAGGAGUGUGGAAUUCCGUGGUGUAGCGGUGAAAUGCGCAGAUAUCAGGAGGAACACCAAUGGCGAAGGCAGCACUCUGGGACGUGACUGACGCUGAGACGCGAAAGCGUGG